UAGAGAGAGAGGGGCUGGAAAGGCUGCUGAGGUGCCAGAGUAAUUAUAUACCUCAUCUUGGGCUGUGCAAAGACGAGAUAGCCUAGCUCUAGCUAAUUGCCAUCCUCAGGCAACGGUGUUCCCCACUGAACAUCAGAGAAGGGAAUCUGUUCGAUGCAAAACAAAGAAAAAGCACACGUCCAAUAAAGCUAACCAAGGGCCCUCAGUGCUGACUGGGGCCAUCCACAGAGUCGAGACUCCGAUGGCCCUCACUCAUCUUCUCUCGGCUCUUCUAAUUAAGAAAGCUUUAAAGGUGGAACCAGUUUGCUCCUUUCUUGCUCUUUUAUAGUCAUCGCCCUGCCCCAAAUAUGAUGAGAGAGAGAGAGGGCGCCUCAAAAUAUGGAGAGUGUGGUUCCUAAGAUAGCCCAUGGCUAAAGUGUGAACUUCCUUAAGACCAGACACAGAAGUAACUUUCUCUUCUUUUCAGCUCUCCGUGUUUUUUUCAAAUGCUGUUUCAAGCUGAACCGACUAUUCAGAUAGCUUCCCCCUCCUUUCCUCUUUCCUCUGUCUUUAUCUCUCUCCGUGUGUUUCUCAGCUGAUCCAUAGCUUCUUUCUGGGUUAGGAAGUGUGCAAUACACGUCUUUUUCUUUUGUUACCUGCCCUUCCCCUGGCCAGUGGCAGCCCCAGUGCAGGUUUGGAAGCCUGCUACUGAUCAUCCAGGACAAAACCCAAGCCAAUCAGCAGGGCAGACCUGAGUCCAUGUCUGCAGAGGAGCUGCCUUGCCUGAGCUUCUGCCCCAGAAGAGGAAGGUGGAGCUCAGCCAGGAGCCCCUCCUUUUCAUGCAGAGAAUCUGCGUCCCCGAAGUCGGAGGGAGCAUACAUUUCUUCUCUUUUUGUCAGAUUUAACUUGAUUGAGUGAGAAGAAUCGUAUCUAUUCCCACCAAGGCCACCUGCUUUCUCCAACUUUCACAGAGCACAUCCAUGACACUCCAAGCCCAGAUUUUCCAAGAUCUCACUGUGAGCUCAGCCUGGACCAUCUCCACAAACAGGCCAGACUUGCACAUCCCAAGCUGACUCCAUCACCUUCCUCUCUAACGUGACCCUUCCAUGGAGACAGUGCCCGCACCCGGGGCCAGGCUCGAGCAUUACUGCACCCUUGCCUCCUAUACCUGUCAGCGAGCUUUUUGAACUUUAUUUCACACACAUUUCAAAUCCAACUCCAGAAGCCAGAGAUGAAACCACAGCCCAAACCCAUCCUGCUCAUAACCCAUCCUGCUCAUAACCAUCCCCCAUCACCCAGCAAAGGACCUGAUACCUAACUCCAUUGCCCAGUGCCCUUCCACUCUGCCCUCUAAGCCCCUCGGCAUGACAUUCAGAGCCAUGCUUCUCUGCCACCACUGGAGUCAGUGACUCCCUGCACUGGGCACCUGCCCCUCCCCCAGGGUGCUUCCCACUUGCACCCCUAGUUCACACUCACCUGAGAGCAGCCCCUCCCCCCUUCACUCAGCUAAGGACUAUGACUUUGCCCAGGCCACAUCUGUCUUUAACUUCUUUACCACCUGAGUAGGCCACAUACCACACUUCUGUGCCCCUAUCAUGUUCACACACACUUCUGUCACUGUAUCCAGCUCCUUAGGGGCAACUUGGGGGCCGGGGGGCUGUGUACUCUUUCUGAGUGUGGUCUCAGCACCCAGUUCACACAGCGGACACCUGUUACGCACACACAGCAGGUUCUCAGCAAUUGGGAUAUUGCACUUGUGCUUUCAGAUGACUGGUUAAGGCCAUCUGUUACUGCAGGAUGAUCAAUACCUUAGCCUGAAUUAGCUCCAUUUUCAUGUUAUCUAUUUAAAGAAGACAGACUCCGAGACACCAAGGAGUGUGUCUAUGUAGCAUGUUUUGUCUGGCGACUGAUCUGCUUCUUCGGACACUUAAUAAUGUGAUACAGUUGAGGGUGAUGACGAUGACAAUGACGUCAACCGGAGCAGGAAACUGGAGAUGACUCGACAUCCUUUUAUGCUCUGAGUCUGUGUCGUUGCUUAAAACAGUACACGGUGAGUCACAGGGUGACAGCUCACUCGUCUUGAAACUUUAACUAACCAGAACACCGGCUGGAGCCUCAGUCAGACACACUCCAGAGAAGCCAAAUCCCGGAAAGUGCGCACGGCGGGGCUUAACGAGCGAGCUUUCUAGGGGUCGUCUGGUCUGCAUUCACAGCCCAUUUGUUGUCACUUUAACUUCCCUUCUAAUAAUUGGUGCCGUCUCAUUCCCCAGGCAUAGCAAGUUAGACAUAAAAUAUGAGGCCAAGCAGGCCGAGUAGGGUGGAAAGAGGCUCCCAGGGGCUGACCUGGUACCAUGACACAAGGGCUAAUCAUGUGCGAAAAAGGAGACAAACUUUAAAAGAACACCACGUACACAGCAGUCUGGGGACAUUGCACCAUUAGGGACACGGUGUUCCGCACGUAUGAACAGAGCCGACUGCCCCCAGCACACAACAGAGGGACAAUACUGAGCCCCAUCAUGAUGACCAAGACAGCCAGAGAGCCUCGACUUCUGUCCAGCACUCUCACGUGUCCAGAGAAAGAAAUUCAAACAUUGUGAGAAUAAUUCCCGUCAGUAUGAGUUUGGGGUUUUUUUGGUUUGUGUUUGUUUUGUUUAAGUUUUAACACGUCCCAGGGUAGAUUGUGUUUACCUGGAACUUAUGCCCUGAGAUGCCUGACAAAUAAACCCCUGUUUACCUUCACCCUAUGGGAGCAAUGAACCAGCACUUACCCACCGGACUGGAGCUGGAACCACAUCCCAGGCCACGCCCACCGAAAGGAUACAACCUACAACAACUCAACACCCUAGACACCGCUUCAUCUGUAGAGGCAGCUUUACUUUAAAACACAAUGAGACAGGAAACUCGAUCUGCCAAAAAACUAGCCAAUAUAGCAUGUUCCACACCUCCCUGUCCAUGCAAAACACUCAUGGACUAAGAUGUAAAUUCAGGUCAAGAGCAGGAGAGAGGCAUCUAUUUCAAGGCAGACCCCACUUCCGAAUCUGUUUUCUUUAGGUUUCCACAACCCGCUCUCCUGUCGCCUGUGCCUCUCCUUUUGUGAUCAUGGUACCGCCCUGCCAGGUAAGGCCUCUCCUCUCCCACUGCCUUGCCCCACCUUUUCUCAGACCCUCAGAUAUCUAGGAGCAGCUUCGACGAGGGAAAAGGCAAAAAUGAUUACGUUUUGUUCCAUUCAAGCCAGUUCCGUGGCCCUCAUUUCUUCACUGCUUCAGCAGGGACAACCCAGGAGGACCAAGUUUCAUCAUUUUAUGAAGAUUAAAUGGGACAUAGGACGUCAAGCAGCCAGCAGAACCCGGCACCUGGCGGGUAAGCGGUCCUUUCAUUCAGUGAAUAUUCACUGACGACGUGCAGACUCUGAUCUAGCCAGGGAGCCUCAGCCACAAAAAAGAGAAGCAAGAUGCCCCUUCUCCUUCAUGCUUACCUAUCACCACUGGGACUUGGUGGGGCUCUGAAAACCUGUAAACGUGAAACCAAGUGGAUGCUCUAUAGAUAUGCCAGAGGCCAUGAUUUUCAGCACCUCGUUUUGACCUGCAUCAGGAACUGCAUUUUCAGAUGCAGUUGACAGUGAACUUUACGAACAACCCCGCUGAACACGGUGCACCUUGAUCUUGGACGUGCAGGAAGCCAGGAGCCUGUGUUCUAGCCCUUAAACACCCACACCUCUUAUGCCUGCGAGGAAGAAAUCUUUGUGUCUUCAUCGAUCUAAGUGGGGAGAACGUAUCUGAAAUCUCUUAGAUGAGUAUAAGCUAGAAGUGAAAUCAGGUUAAGGAUUGAAAACACCUUUGGUUUCUCAGCCACACAAUAGUGGGUAAACUCAAGCGACUACUGUUGUGCUGCAGAUAUAUGUGAUCUUAGUUUAUAAAAUAGACAGAAUUAGCAAAGGCAAUUCUAUAUGCUGGGUCAGCUGAGCAUUUUUUUACAUAUACUGGAUUUUCCAUUUUAUUGUCUUUGAAACAUAGUAAAUAAAACAAACCUAAAAUGUACGGGGAGAAUUCAGCUAACUGUUGAAGACGAUCUAAACGUGUGUUGGAAUCGAAAAGGGUCUACAUAUACACAAUGGAAUAUUACUCAGCCAUUAAAAGGAACAAAAUAACG